AUGAGGAUCACCAAACAAUGCAACCUGCCACUUUCUUUGGGUAAGCAUUAUCGCUCAAAUGUGUUGUGUGAUGUGGUUGACAUGGAUGCCAGCCAUGUUCUUCUUGGGAGGCCUUGGCAAUUUGAUGUGGAUACUACACACAAGGGCAAGGAAAAUUCUUAUUCUUUCAUUUGGAACAAGAGAAAGAUCAUUAUCUUACCAAACAAAACCGAAGGUAAUACCUCUAAGGAGGAGGGGAAAACUAUGUUAACUAUCUCCCAUACCUCUCAUGAGUUUAUGGAAGACUUGAAGGAGGCAGAUUUGUGUGCUGCACUUGUUGUAAAGGGAGAAGAGCACCUGACUGUUGAAAUUCCAGCAAAGGUACGUGGUUUAUUGGCAGAAUUUUAG
rnacentral:rRNA from 1 species